rnacentral:rRNA from 1 species
UACGUAGGGGCCGAGCGUUGUCCGGAGUUACUGGGCGUAAAGCGCGCGCAGGCGGCUCGUCAAGCCUGACGUGAAAGCCCCCGGCUCAACCGGGGAGGGUCGUCGGGGACUGGCGGGCUUGAGGUCGGCAGGGGUUGGUGGAAUUCCCGGUGUAGUGGUGAAAUGCGUAGAUAUUGGGAGGAACACCAGUGGCGAAAGCGACUUUCUGGGCCAUUCCUGACGCUGAGGUUCGAAAGCUCGGGGAGCAAACAGG